CCAUGGGUAUCAGCUCUUUAAAAAUGUUUGGAAAAAAACAUAUCUUUAAUUUUCUUUUUACAAUGCAUGAACACAACGUUAUGCAGCCAAGGACAUUUAACUAUCGCUACUAAGGUCUUAUUAUUUAGAUGCACCCAAGGUUCAAAAAAUUUAUAAAAUUUACCAUCACAUCGAAUCAAUAAAUAUAGAUAAAAAAUAACUAACUAUAACUUGUGAGACGAAUCUUGUAAGCCUAAUUAGUUUAUGGUUAAUCAAUAAUUGUCAAAUACAAGCGAAAGUGCUACAAUAUCAAACUUCAAAAACUUAUGUAUGCAUGGAUAUUUAUGAAUGCAUUAAUUAUUAGAAAUGGUGAUCAAUCUCCCCGAGGGCGGAGCAGCCAUGGUGGAAACUCAUGCUACCAUGAAAUUAGAAAAGAAAUGAGUUAUAAGACGCAUGUUAUAUUGAGCCUCAAGCAAUAUAUAUAGAGAGAGAAUACAAAGGCUUUAGUACCACUCCAAUAUCCUGCCAACCAAACAUACUCUAACAAGAGUUUUAGUUCAAGACAACCUCGGUUCAAAAUCCUAGCAUCAUAAUUCAUAAACAGCAGACUUCACAAAGAUCGAGCAGGCUUAGAACACCCUGUAUGGUUUCCCCAUGGUGCUCUUGACGUAAAGGCAUCUCACCUGCAUAAGCAUAUAUCACAACAUGUUAUAACCAAGUCCUUCAGAUUAUAUUCUAAAAAAUGUUCGUUAGAUGUAAAACAAAACAGGUACAAUUAUUAAGGUAAAGAUGCAACAGUGACUAGAGCAUCACUCACAUUCUGCCAGUUCUUCUUCAGGAGGGACACAAGGAAGUUCACACUCAUUUGGAUGUUCUGCUGGAUCUGCUUCUCCUCCAUGGACAAGUUACCGACGGCGACACCCAUGCAGAGGACCUUCUUCAGCUGAAACUUGACAGUAGCCUUCGUCUCAUUCACCUUGGAUUCCAGGGACUCCUGGUGAGUAACAAGCGUAGGGAACUUGCCUGCAGUAGUGAUAUCAACAUGAUUCAAUCAGAAGGGCAGGAAAUGCAGACCAUAUCUAGCAAAAGCUCUCAGAUGCAUAGCUCCCAGAGUUUGAAAAUGUCAAAUAGCAACACUAAUAAAACAUUUUAAUAUUAACACAUUGCUUUGAGAAUGUCAAAAAGAAACAGUAAUAAAACAUUUUAAUAUUAACACAAUGACAGGACAUUGGCUUUCAACAAGUACUAAGUAAUUAAGUCAUUAUCAAUCUUUGCAGGUAAGACUAACAUAUAGGAGGAACGCUAAUGCAUACCAUAAACGAAUGAAAACAGAAAAAUCAUGCAAAACUACGCACAGAAAUAUGAAACAGCACUGCAUGUUACAAGCUUAGAAUGCAAAUAACAAUUAUGUCAGAAAUGGACUACUUGCCUGCCUUGUUAAGACCAGGACCAAGGAGACGGGGAAUCUGCUUGAUGAUGGCCUCUGAUGCCAAAAACGCAUGGUACUUCUUGGCAAGCUUCUUAACAAGCUUCUUGUUCUUGUUCAUUUUCUUGAGGGACUCAACAUCCAUGUAGUCAAGUCCCAUCUUCUCAGCCUGGAAAUGAAGUAAAAUGGUUUAUGUCAGGAAGAGUUGAUCCAAGGGCAAUUAUACUAUCUGAGCACUCACUCAAACUUCCGUACAGUUGAGCAGGAUUUGUACAUACAGAUUUUAAUGCAAAUGAAAUCAAGCGCAAGAUUGGACUGAGUCAUACAUGCCAGGCGAAAUUGAGUAAUUCAAAACAUUGGCGUUUUUUCUGUUCAACAAACUACUAGUGUACUACUGUAAGCAUGUUCAAUAUAUAAAUAAGUAGAUUUUCAAGCACACCAGCAACUGCCUGCUUACCUCCUCAACGUGCUGGGCAUCACCAAGCAUGCACACCUUCAUCUUUGGACGAGGGAUGUGGGGCAACUUAACAGAGCCACUGAAACGCUUGUCCUUCUGUGGAUCAUAAUUCUUCAGACCAAUCUGAAGCUCAACAGUCUCGGUGAACUUCCUAUUCUUCUCCUUGGCAUCCCCAACAAUCUGAGAGAUGGCAUCCUUGAGAACCUCGGACUGCAACUUACUGCAUUAAUAUCAGUGCACAGAAUUUAUUAGACAAAGAUAAUCUAUCUGGUUGGGAACAAUACUAGGGAGAAUUGUAGAAGGCAAAAACUGCAGAAUAAUCAAUCAUAAUAAGCAAACUAAGUGAAUCUAUAUCAUGUGUUGAGACAACAACCUGAAUCUAUCUCACAUCCAUUUUCAUUAUGUAAAUUGUGAACGAACUAACUGGAGCCAACACCCAAAGAAUCAGAUUGGACUUAGGCCUGCUAACGGGGUCUAACCUCAACCCAACCCAUAGCCUAUGAGUCAACUGGUCUAGACAACAACCUGAAUCUAUCUCAAAUCCAUUUUCAUUAUGUGAAUGAACUAACAGCUGGACCCGACUUUCAAAGAAUCAGAUUGGAAUAGGACUGCUAAUGGGGUCUAACCCCACCCCAACCCACAGCCAAUGAGUCAACCUGUUAUGUCCAACCCUACCCAAAAAUCUAAAUCAAGCACCCACCCCAACCUGCUCCGCAACACCCACCCGCCAUUUAACCCAUGGAGCAUGCUAACUGAUGCUCUCUGGUUGCUGAAAGAUCCAUCCCCAGGCUGUUCUAAAUCAUGGAGAAAACUAAUCCAGAUGAACAAAAAUAUAAAUUUCCAAGCAAGGCAUCCAAAAUCCAUCCUCUGAUAACACACAGCAGCGAUUUUAGAUGGUAGGAUACAAAUUUUUACUUUCACACAGUUUAUUGAAAAAAUUUGUUUCUUCAGAAAACAAGAGAAACUGUCACAGAAAAGCCAAACUGGAUGGCCAUUAGCAACGGCCAGCCAGCAUUAAAUCCUGCAUUUAUCUUGUUGUAGAAAAGAGCUCGAGAGCUGUGGUGGAAACCAUGUGAUCACAUCCAUAUCACAGUCACACCUCAUUUCCAAAUCAAUCACUAUUCCAGGAAAAAAAAAGAGCAAUGCAGCAGAAAAAAAAGAACCACUGCAGAGAUAGGUUAGACAAAUCGCUGAUGAAAGUGCACAGGAUGAGGGCUUGAUGGCAGUACUCCUCGCCUUCCAUGCAAGCUGCCAGCGGCAGCGUAUGGGAGGAGACGACUGACAAGAACAUCCUCUCCUGCACAGAGGCGUGCUCCUCCUACCGCCCUCCUCUACAGUGUAGUGGCCCUCCAGCAGAGGGCUGCCCACACUAGGCUCCGUGGGGGGCUGGUGCCACACCAGUAAUGCCACAGCUCAGCCUCGCCGCCGCCCACUUGAGCAGCAACACGGCCCCACCCCUGGCUCCCCACAGACACAGUAGGGGCUGACAAAACCCACUUACUGACCCGCCCCAACUCGCGUUUCUUGUAAACCCAACCCGUCCCGAUCCACGACAUAGUAAAACAAGUUUCCACUCAUUUACCCACAGCACAUAUUAGAACCCAUACCAAAAAAAAGGGUUAAUGCCGCCCCGUUAGCAGGUCUAGAUUGGAAAGACCACGGCUACAUCAAGCAUAAUAAACUAAUCAAAGCAUGAUACAAGGGGGCUCCUAGAUUUCUUAUCAUCCUUAAUAUAGCUUAUGAUAAUCAAAUGAAACACAACUCAAAUACCUAAGGCAUUGAUCUCCUAAAGGCAAGAUUGAAGAUCCCCUGUAGGACCAAAUCCUACCAUGGCAAUCGACGAGACAACUACAUAUCACUCAAAUCCUACACGAAAUCGGCAUUUCUACCGUACGAACCGAUGCACGACACAGCAGAUGCAACGAGAAGGGGAAAUCAGUAGUACCUCAUGGCUGCAACCGUUCACUCGACUCCCUGUAGAAGGAACAACAAAAAAACAGAGAGGGGUCAGAUACGGUGAAACGGACAACAGAUAGGGCACCGAAACAUGCGACUUCGCGAAUCGAGCCGUCAGCAAGAGAGGAGGCUGCCAUGGCACUGGAAGCAUACCUGCUAGGGUUUGGCCCGAGGCGAGCGACGGAGCGAGAGGGAAGGGACGGCGGCGCCGGGUGUUUAUAUACGAGCGGGGAGCGGUGUCGAAGCAAAACCCUAGAACGAGCUCCCGAUGGAUGACGCGUGUUAAUCUUGAGACCGCCAGAUGCGGGUACGGACGUUAUGGCCAUUGGGCCUCUUCAGGAUAUAUGUGGGCUAUGUUUGUGGCUUCGUCACUGUUCAUGGGCUUCAAUUGCGAUCACGUAAGGAAAAACUAUUUAAGGCCUUGUUUACUUUUAAAAAAAAAAAUCAAGAUUUCUCGUCACAUCAAAUCUUAAGACAUAUGCGUGGAGUAUUAAAUAUAGAUGAAAAUAAAAAUUAAUUACACAGUUUGCCUGUAAAUUGUGAGAUUAAUCUUUUGAGUUUAAUUAGUCCAUAAUUGAAUAAUAUUUGUCAAAUAAAAACGAAAGUGCUACACUACUCAAAAACACAAAAUUUGGGAACUGAACAAGGCCUAAGCUAUUUCUGCUAAAAAACUCUUAACCUAUCGUUGGCUCAAAAAAACUCUUAAGCUAUCGUCAUAGUUGGAUUUUCUUUCUAGAACUUUAAAAUUUUUAUAGGCAUUUCAUAUCCUCUAAACUCCCAAUACCAUUCAAAUUACCUCUUGCCAUGGAUUGAAGUGGUUUUGAAUGUGGUUUCAUCCAUUAUUAAUAAAAAUCCAGUAAAUACUUGAUUAUUUUUUAAACCAUAAACAUUGUCUUAAAAAUUCUAAAAACAUCUAAGAAAAUCCUAGAUAUAUAUUGGAUGUAAAAAAAUCCAAAUAAAAUAUUUAUACAUUGUCAAAAUAUCUCUAGAAAUUUUUAAUUUAACUCUAUAAAAAUGGGGAAAUAUCAAAAACUAGAAAAUUCUGGAAACAUGAUGAUUGGUAUAUAAAUGGGCUAUGACAAAAACAUGAGAUGCAAUCGACAUGAAUAUGACAUAUAUUAAUGUAAAAUGCAUUUAUGCUAUGCACUUUGUAAUGGUUGUGUGUUGUUUUUUUAGAAAGUUUUCAAAAUACAAUAAGACAUCAAUUAUAAUGAUUUGUGUUUUUUCUAUAUUUUUGGAUAUAUUUUUAUUUUCCUAGAAGUAAAUCUAUUUUUGGAAGCUGCUAAAUAUACGAGCGAGUUUUUUUUUUUUUUGAAAUUGUUGCAUUUAAAUUUAUGCCUAGGUUCGAAAAAACGCUUCUUUGUUUCAGGGUUAAGACGCUUCCUUCUAGAACAAAGCAAUGUGAAACAUGGUCUAUGGUAGAUAUAUCCACGAGUGGUGUCAAAGAGAGCACGAGCAAAUGAGGCCAUUUAAUCCUAAAAGAAGCCAGACUAGUAGAGAUGUACCCCAUCCAUCCCAAAUCAUAAAGUCAUUCCAACUAUCUUAGAGAGUCAAAUCAUCUCAAGUUUGUUCAAAAUUAUAGAGAUAAUUACAAGGAUUUAUGACAUUUUGUAUUAUAAAAAUAUAACUAAUAAAAAAUCUAAUAAUACUAUAAAUGUUAUUAUUUUAUUAUAUAAAUUUGAUCAGACUUGAAAUGCUUUGACGACUCUUGAGAAAGUUAUAUGACUUAGGGAUCCUUUGGAUUACAUGAUUUUUGAAGGAAAAAUAUUGGGGUGUACUGUUUAGUGAAGGAAAGUUUCCUAUCCUAUGGUUUGGAAGCACUACUAUUCCAUAGGAUUUCCUAUGCUAUGUGUAGAUUCCAUAGGAUUUGUAACAUCCACUCAUACCUCUUGGAAAAAUUCAUAUGCACCAAAUAUGAGGAGUUGAAUGCUGAUGCUAGUAACCAAUGGUCAAUUAUGGCUUGUUCUACCCAAACCCAAAGAGAGCAAACACAUGCAUUUGGUGUUAUUUUUAUUCAAUCUUGAUAUUUCUGCAAAAUGAAUCAUCACUUCUAUGUUUUACAUCCUUUGUUUUGCACAUGCAGCCCUAUAUUAUUUAUAUAUUUUUUCUAUUCCUAUAUUUUUUAAAUCCUACCUUCGAAAGGAGCCCUUAGAAUUUGGAACGAGGAGGUAUAUAGAAGGCGGUGCAUUAUUGACAUUGACACCACUCCACGCGUUGGUGAUUACGGUGUUUGGAUUCCUAUGGCUAAACUUUAGUCCAUGUCAUAACGGAUAUUUAGACACUAACUAGGUGUAUUAAAUUAAAAAUAGACUAAUUACAUAAAUGAAAACUAAUUCACAAGACGAGUCUAUUAAGUACAAAUAAUUCGUGAUUAGCCCAUAUGAUGCUACAACAAACAUGUGCUAAUCAUGACUUAAUUAGACUUAGGCCUUGUUUAGAUCCAAAAACUUUUUGGAUUUUGAUACUGUAGCAUUUUCGUUUUUAUUUGACAAACAUUAUCCAAUCAUGGAGCAACUAGGCUUAAAAGAUUUGUCUCGUGAUUUACAAGUAAACUGUGCAAUUAGUUAUCUUUUUUAUCUACAUUUAAUAUUCCAUGCAUUUGCCGCAAGAUUCGAUGUGAUGGGGAAUCUUGUAAAGUUUUGGGUUUUUGGGUGUAUCUAAACAAGGCCUUAAUAGAUUCAUCUCAUGAAUUAGUCUUGGUUUGCGUAAUUAGUUUUAUAAUUAGCUCACAUUUACUUCUCUCAAUUGUUAUCUAAACAUCCGAGUAAAGUUUAGGCCUUGUUUAGUUCACCUCAAAAACCAAAAACUUUUCAAGAUUUUCCAUCACAUCGAAUCUUGCGGCAUAUGCAUGGAGCAUAAAAUAUAGAUAAAAACAAAAACUAAUUGCACAGUUUAUUUGUAAAUCGUGAGACGGAUCUUUUAAGCCUAGUUACUAUAUGAUUAGACAAUGUUUGUCAAAUAAAAACAAAGUGCUACAGUGUCGAAAUUCAAAAAAAAUUGGAUGUAAACAAGGCCUUAGCACUUGCUAGGAAGGAAAGUGCUUGCCUGGCAGUAUGUUGAUCGUAAAUUAGGUGAUGGUCAGACACUGAGAAAACAGGUACUCGUAAUUCUAGAACCGAGAACCACGCGUGAUUGGCAAAGGCAGCCGGCGCAGGCACGCUAGCUGGGAACGCCGAAUAUGCGGCUUGCUUGUUGGGACGACCGGUGGCCGCCGCACCUUUGAUCCAUCUGCAUAUCUCAUCAGGCAUCUCGAUCGAUCGGCACAGUAUAUUCGGCCUAUCGUCAUCCAUCUGACAUUUUGACUAUCUCAUCCCACAUGUAAUGUCUGCGAUUGUCAUCGAGUAUUCCAAAUUAAUAAUCCUGUCAUUCGGCGACAAUCGGGCCGGGUGAUUAUUAUUAUGCACGUAGUCGAUCGAUCUAAUAUAUGAUAGAAUUACGAGAGAACAAGGCAUCUGUUGUGGAGAUAUACAUAUAUAUAGCUAAUAUAUAUAACUUCAUCGCCAUGUCCGCCAUGCGUCGUUGUCAUCAUCAUCCUCCUCCUCCUCCUUGAUUACUCUUGCUCCACUUACUCGUGCUAGCAAGCUCGUACAUGAUUGAUGAGCUACAGUUGCUGUGUGUAGUAGUAGUAGUUUUAGAGUUAUCAUGGAGCUGUUCGCUGAUCUGGAAAAUAAAUUAUUGUUGACUGAUUUAUUGUAAGAGAAAAACACUGUUCGCUGAUAGAAAAAAGUACGGCUGAAAAGAAAAGAGAACAGGCUUUCACAAAUUAUUAGUAGUUCUCAAUCAUAUAGCCAGCGGAAAAAGACACACAAGACACUAGUAUAAUACUAGAAUAUACGCAAUUAUUAUAUAUACUAUGUAUGUAUGUAUGUAUGUAUGUACGGAGCUUGCAUUGAUGCAGUGGUGUUGGUUGGCGAGGCUCGGCAGCCGCGGCGCUGUCGUCGUCGUGUACAUGUAGGUCCUCAACUCCUCAUUUAGUCAUGUGUUCCAUGCGCGGCGCGCGCAUCUCAUCUCCUUGUUCUUUGUUAUUGUUUGCAGCAUCGUAAUUAACAUUUCUUCCUUCAUCCGUCAAUCACCCACCACACACGCAUCAUCCGUCCGUCAUCUUCUCCUCCUCGCUGGCUGAUGAGAUGAUGAUGACAUCUAUAUAUCCAAGAAUAUGCAUGCCGCAUAAUGUGUGUAUCGACAAGAUCACCAUUUUUUGGACGCAUAAUAAUAUACUCUCAUGCACGUGGGUGUGGAUCGGCGUAUGAGAUUAUUGUCGGUCGAUUCCUGGUAAAUUUUAGUCACAUUAAUUCAUGCAUGGAGGGCCUCCCAUAGUCCCAGCUAUAAUGGACGAUACACGUACUGGAUUACUGUAUCGAUCACUGCAUCAUUAUUCUUUUUCUUGAUCCCAGUGUUCGUGACUUCGCUGUUUGGUUUUGUUUGGUGAAGUUUACCGUGUGCCACAUCGAAUAUUUAGACACGUGUAUGAAGUACUAAAUAUAGACUAUUUACGAAACUAAAAACACAACUAGAGAGAAAUUUAUGAGACGAAUCUUUUAAGCCUAAUUAGCUCAUGACUGAACAAUAAUUUUUAAAUAAGAUAAAAAUACUAUAAUAUCCGUUAAACUUUAACACCCCCUAACCAAGCACCCUCAAAGAGUGCCUUUCACGGUGUCAUCAUCAGAGAAAUAGUCAUCACGAGGCAUGUUGGAUUAUUUGAACUACUUGAAAUAGUGUUAUUUUUUAUAAUGUGUUAUUUUUUAUAAUGGUCAGAAAAGCAUUGGACUUUGGAAAAGAAACUUCAAAGAUGAACUUUACAUUGUGUGUACCAAAGCCAAAGCAACAAGCAGAAGCACCUUAACCAGUUUAUGGAGAGAUAGUUUUACUUAGUUAUUUCCUUGUUUUUGCUUUGGGCCUAGUUGCCUUGUACUUGCUCUUUGUACACAACAUUCUCUUGGGCAUCUUGAUCCUUUCAGAACGUAUCCCAUGUUCUAGUUUCUAAUUUUUGUGAAGGAAACAAGGAACUGAAACAUACAAUGUAUCAACUUUUUUUUUUGAAGGAAACGAGGAACUGAAACGUUUCGGAUUCAAGCAGCUGAACACUAUUUGGAGCUAUUUCUAGUGAAUCACAUGAGAGACGGAUCCGAUUCUAACAUCCAAACACAAUGCAGUGCAAGCAGUUACUUACAAUCUUACAGGCCUAAUCUGUAUGUAUUCAUCUCAAUCUAUAUGUGUUGAAGUGGAUUUGAAUGAAAUUCUACUCCAAUCCACUUCAAUACAUGUGAAUUGAAGUGGAUACACAUGCACCUAAAUAAGACCUUAAAAGGAACCAUAUAUCUCGUCCCAUCUUGGAUGAUUCCUCCAUGCAAACAAGCACAAAAGAUAGCAACCGAUCAAUACUUCCUACGAGCAUCAAUCUGUUCUAACUUAUGCAGUGCAUUGACCAAUGACCAACACCAACAGAGAUGAAAGAACAGAUGAGCUGAAUAUGCAGGCGCCCAACUACGGGUCACCGCUAGUGGUGAGCAGGAAAGUUGCUGGGGCAUUUAAGCUGUAUGUGACAUGCCUAUUAUCAUCGCUCAUAGUGUUGUUUGGUCGUGCCUGUCUGAAAAAAGAAGGAAUAGAGAGAAAAGACAAUCAUUGCACACAACAUUGGCGAAAUGGACCCAAAUGUGCUGGAUAAAAGACAAUAAUGACAUCUUCAAUAUAAUUACGAUGAAGGUCAAAGAUUGAAAAUAGGGAUGUGCAUAUGCAUGUAGGAAUGUGUUAGAUUUAAUGUGGACUUGUCCAAUAUUUUAAUUAAUUAGAUCGAAUAAAAUCCUAAAAUCUAGAUUAAAUAUUGCGUGCAUUAUAUGAUUUAGUCCUAUAUGGGAUUAUAGUUGAAUGUUAACUUGAUUUAUAUGUGUGGAUUGUGUUUGCCUACAUUGAUAUUGAGAAGUUGAGAAAAGAUGAAGGCGUGCCACACGCACGCAACUGUCAUUGCCGAGCUGAGCCCGACUCGAUGUGGUAUUAUAGUUGGUUUUGCCACUCAAGCCGGUUAAUGACACGAGUUGGAAGUUUUAGGAGUUUCCGCUUAUAAGGACAGCUGCUCAUGAUAACAGAAGUCGUGAGCAUCUCUUCUCUAUCUCUUGCAGCAGCAGCAGCAACAACAACAACAACAACAACAACAACAACAACAACAACAACAACAACAACAACACCACCACCACCACCACCAACAACAACAACAACAACAACAACACUACAAAAAAAAAAGAGAAAGAAGGGUCAGAUACGGUGAAAUGGACAACAUAUAGGGCACCGAAACAUGUGAUUUCGCGAAUCGAGCCGUCAUCAAGAGAGGAGGCGGCCAUGGCAAGCAUACCUGCUUAGGGUUUGGCCCGAGGCGAGCGACGGAGCGAGGCGAAAAGGGAAUUGAAACGGCGGCGCCGGGUGUUUAUAUAUGAGCGGGGAGCGGUGUCGAAGCAAAACCCUAGAACGAGCUCCCGAUGGAUGACGCGUGUUAAUCUUGGAACCGUCGGAUGUGCGGAUUCGGACGUUUUGGGCCAUUGGGCCUCUUCCAGAUGUAUGUGGGCCAUAUUUGUGGCUUUGCCACUGAUCAGGGCUUCCAAUAGUGACAUAAGGAAAAUGUGUUAUAGUCGAAUUUUCCUCAUAUAGAACUUUAAAAUCAAACAUUUUAACCUCUAAACUUUCAAGACUAUUCAAAUUACCUCCUGUGUUGAAGUGGAUUUGAACGUGGUUUCAUUCUAUUUUUCUUAAUAAAAUCCAAUAAACGUUUUUAAAAAAAUAUAGACUUGGCUCUACAAAAAUGGGGGAGGGGGUAUCCAAAAAAUCUAGUAAAUUCUAACAUCAUUAUGAUUGAUAUAUAAAGAGGCUUUAAAAACUUUAUAUGACAAAAAUAUAAGAUGUAAUUAGCAUGAAUGCAACAUAUUUUAAUGUUGAAUGCAUGUAUGCUUUGCACUUGCGAUGGUUUUGUCUUAUGUUUCUUGUUGUGGAAAGUUUCAAAAAUGCAUUUAUACAUCGGUUACAAUGAUUUGGGAAUUUUCCGUAUUUUUAGAUUUAUAUAUUUCUGUUUUCCUAGAGCUAAAAUCUAUUUCUUGGAAGAUGCUACAUAUAUGAGUUCUAAAUAUUUUAUUAGAAUUUGUUGUAUACUAAUUUAUACCUAUAAUUUUUAUCGGAAUUUUUAGAAACUUAAGGACAUUUUUCCAUGUUUAAAUAUAGGGUUUGUAAAAACACAACAACAAAUGUGCGUGAUCCUGAUAGGUAAAAUAGGAAAAGAAGCGUAAACAAAAUACAAUGACUGAUGUAAGUUAUUGUUUGAUUUGAUUAGCUGGAUGCAGCAAAUUCAUUUUAUAUAUAGAGAGGUGUGAGUUUCCCUAUGGAUUUCGAUCAUGUCCGGCUGCUUUACCAUGUCUAAGUCCUUGUUUUUUAAACUUCGAUUAAUAACAUGUUGUUUACAUAUAUAAUAUAAAUAAUAUAAUAAAAAAGACAGCAUUUUGCUUCCACAUUUAUGGAGAGAAAGAGCGAUUUUGGGUCGUGGAAAAUAUCUGAGUUCCGAACUGGAGUUUGCAGAAAAGAUAAAAAGAACUUGAUUCUUUUUUUGCUAAACCAACACUUUUAAGAAUCAGACUACGUAUUAUCGCUAGACAUGUUGUUUUACAUACCUCAGUACAUAUAGUUGUAGAUUAGAAUUCCUAUUCAAGUUAUUUAUGAUCAGAGUUCUAUUAGAAUUAGGAUUUCUAACUACGUAAGUUACCUCAUCUAUACCUAUAUAUAUAUAUAUAUAUAUAUAUAUAUAUAUAUAGAGGCAAAAUUUCAGCCUCUUUUUUGGUUGGAUUUUUUUUCGUCUGGCCAGAUUCUUAUAUGCACUCGCGUUCCAUCGCUGCCAGCGCACUUGUUGCCUCACGCCCGCUCCCGUCCCUGGCUCAUCCCCCAGCCGGCGGAGCCUAGGCGAGGAUGGGAACAGCGCGCUCGCUCAGGCAGGCGGGCCAUCGACGCUUGCCCCGGCGGCGGCCCAUCCUGCUGCGCUCGAGGAGGCCCAGGCGGUGCAUCUUAAGGAGGACGCUGUCAGAAACGCGGAGGCGCGCAAUGACGAGCAGAUCCUCGAGAACAGCGUUGUAGUGCGCCGUGUCGAUCUCGGCGGCGGCGGCGGCGGAGCCCCAUGGCACGGCAACAGUAAGGAAGAUCAAGGUGCUACAACGGCAACGACGUCCAGCUUUGUUGGUCGUGGCAGCAACAGCAAGACGGCAGCCCAAUCACCUUGGUCACGGCGACAACUUUGUUUCUUCCCCAAUCACCUACACUUAAUUUGUUUGCCAAUCUCUUGCUAUAGAGUUCUUCCUAAUCGUUAGAAGAUGUUUCCGUUUCUUCCCCAAUCAUCUGCUGCUAUAUAAUUUCAUAGUGUGUGGCCAGAAUAUGCAAAGCUUUUGACUCCUGGAUAAAUAGAUAGAUAAACUGGUCAGAAUAUGGAUUGCAAUGACCUGCUGAAUAAGUUCAAUUGCUAAUUUCCCUAUAACUAAGUGCAUUUUUGUUUGCUCAAACCGUGCUGCAAGAAAAAAUAUGGGACCUACAUUCUAUUAUCAAUAAGUACUCUCUGUUAUGAACCUAACAUCAGAAAUCAUGAAUUGCUGCUGUCAUUUGAUAAUUUUCAGUUUACCAAACCAAGUACUACCUUGUUUUUCAGAUUCUGAAAAUAGAGAGCAUGCAUGUGUAACGGUUGUGUCAACUUACUUUGAAUUAUGUAUCCACUAUGUGGUUUCUAUUAGGCAUGAUAGGCAUUCAAGAAUCUAAUAGGUUUCUGUUAGGCAUGAAAAUUAGACAAACUGCUAAAGUGUUUUAGAGAAGUAGAGCAGUCUUGAAUUGUUCCUACUGAAAGCACUAUGACUUUGAUGUUGCUUGGUAGUGUUCAUUUUCAUAUAACUAGGCAACUGAAUUAGCAGUAUGUAACUUAUGUGCAUCAUUUUGAAACUUAAUGGCUUUGUGAACUAUUUUUUGUAGGGAUAAAGAUUAUGUGCCCAUAAACUGUUUCAUGUGGUGUUCAUAUGCUGAACUGGAUGUAAACCUUGACAAAGUGGUGUUCAUAUUGUGGUCACUAAAUUGAGAUGAUUAUCAACUGUUAUGCUUCACCUGAACUGUACACUGUGUCUAUAACAAAUCGAUGAAUGGACGACACCUACUCACGAUCUUAAGAUGUUCACGUUGCUGGCCCUAGAGCUGGAGGAAUUUACGGUCUCCAAUCAGCCAUAUUUGAAGGUUUAUUCUGGUGGAGACCUGUCGUGUGUGGCGAACCUCAAGAUUGGCCCGUGGUCACACAUGCAUGGCUACUCUGAUUACGAUGACAUGAACACUAAGCUUUUACCUCAUUCAGCGUUGCAGGUUCACCCGAUGUGCCUUGUUGAGCGUCUUGAAAUUCCACAGGUACGUGUAUACAUGCAUGAUAACAUAUGUCAUGAUAGUGGCCUACAAACUCGUCGCAAACUAAUAAAACACUACAAGGGACGAACCAAAUGUAAACCAGCCCGGCCAUAUAAAUCUCAGUUUGAUUGUCCUUUAGAGAGGGCGGUCAGGUUCUUUGAUGCCUCAUCUGUCACAUACUCAUAUUUGAACCAUUGAUCCACCCAUAAGAAAUAAAGAUUUCUACUGCUAAAUUGUGAUGUAAUUUUGAUUAGAAAUUUUAUUAAAAGCUAGAUUAGCUAAAGGUUCAACUGAUAAAAUCCACCCAUAAGAAAUAAAGAUUUCUACUGCUAAAUUGUGGAUGUAAUUUUGAUUAGAAAUUUUAUUAAAAGCUGGAUUAGCUAAAGGUUCAACUGAUAAAAAAUAUGAAUUGAAAUAUUAAGUAGGUUUUUGUCUAAUCCAAUUUAAAUAAAUGUAUAUCUGGAAUCUCCUGAUAAGGACUAGCAUGUGAAAAAUCUAGAGAGGUCUUCUGUCAUAAUCACCAGAGGACAGAUCAAUCCUUGACAUGUUUGCAUAACUCCUUGUCGACAUUAAUCAUAGAUCAAAUACGUAUAUUUGUGGGUCCUAAAAGAUCACAAAACUCGAUAUUUUAACUAAAGGAACACAUGAAUAGUAUAAAAAUUAAUUAAAGUUAUUGUUUAUUGCAUCUAAAUAUUUAUGCGCUUUGCAAUAGGAGAAAAAUCCAUCAAAAAUAUAUUUUAAUUUGAUAGAGGCUUAGUAUUGUCAUAUUGUCGCUGACAUUAACUUAUAUUAUGGAUGUCAUGGUCAUAACAAAAUAAAUUAUAGCCUUCAAGUUUUAUGGAGUGAAACAUAAAUAAUAUAUAUAUCGGUCCUAUCGUCGUUUUUAUGAACAUGUUAGUUUUUUUUCUCCCGUCGCAACGCACGGGCAUGUUUUGCUAGUAUCAUAUAAAAUAGGAAUAGCUCUAGGCUGAUACAAAAUAGGAGGGAUCUAGAAUAGAUAUAGAUAUGAUGAAAAAGAAUAAAGCUGACCGGUUAAACUCCAAUCCGGAGCAUCUAAUAUGUAAACUGAUGGCCUCAAGCGGAGAGCCCGCUCCUCGCCGGCUUGCCUCUCCUCUGUUGAGACAGUGGUUGUUUGUGGCGUAGUUGAGGAGAGAAGAUGAGGUCGAGGAGGUAACGCUGAGGGAGGUGAAGGCAGCACGUCUUGUGCUCGCGCCGAGCUUGGCCCGUGUGAAGCGAGAGAGGAUUCUAUGAUGCAGCAUCUUAGAUGCUUUAAUCACCCGUGCGAGCCGGCCUCCUAAGAGCAACUCCAGCAGUGGCACCUAAAUCAGGGCCUCUACUUUUGAUUUGGGUGCUGCCUCCUAUUUUUAUUGGCUCAUAUUUUUGAUUCUACUCCAACAACGCCCCCCAAAUUGAGGCCCUCAAACCUAUUUCGCCAGACAAUGACAAAUGGGACCUGUUUGUCAUUGUCUCUUCUUCCUUUGUACAUGGAGCUCGCCGGAGAUGGAUUCGACUGGAGCUUGUGCUCGAGCUUGAGGGGCGUCGCGUCCGCACGGCGGAGUAGGGUCUCGCACGGCAGGGGGCAGCGCAACCACACGGCAAGGGGCGUCGCGCCCGCGCGGCGGAGCAGGGCUCCAGCAGUGGGGCAGCGCGAUUGCGGGCGAGGGACAGUGCGCCCGUGCCGUGGAGCACGAGCUCACACGUCGGGGGGCGCCUACACCGAGGGAGAAGAGCUCGCGCCGAGGAGGGAGUGGCGCACAGGGAGCCCACGCGGCGGAGAGCGGCAGGGUCGCCGGUGAUGUCGUGGGGAAGAGAGCUCACCAGCCGAGGAAGGUGGGCCGCCGCGCCAGACGUGAGGCGGAUAGCCGCGCUCAUCGGAUGGGAGGGAGACGCGCCCGAGCAGAGAAGACCGUACGACGCGGGGCUGAACGAGCAGAUGGGGGCCGGUUUGUUGGGCCAACAGGAAUUGGGGCUGCAGAGAGGAUUUGGGGUCCCAACUAAAUAUAUUGGAGCUGCAGGGAGGAUUUGGGGUCCCAACUAAAUAUGAAGUCUUGAGUAGAGAUCCUGCUGGAGUAUGAUUUUUGACCUGAGCAUCCAUAUUUAGCUAUUAAAGCUUAAAUAGGGACUCUGCUGGAGUUGCUCUAACUGCGUCUAGUCAAAGAAGGCAGGUUGCAGUUGCAACCGGCACGGUGGCCCGAGUGGGCCAGCGAAACAAACGCACCCUAAAAAGUCAAGAGCAUGCGCCUUGUUCAUUUAGGUUUAUAAACCGAAUAUGUCAGCGAUUGAUUCAGCAGUGUUUUUCUUUUAAAAAAAAAUUCUUAAAAAAUCAGCUAAAAAUACUUUCUGCCAUGGCUAUCAGCUCUUUAAAAAUGUUUGGAAAAAAACAUAUCUUUAAUUUUCUUUUUACAAUGCAUGAACACAACGUUAUGCAGCCAAGGACAUUUAACUAUCGCUACUAAGGUCUUAUUAUUUAGAUGCACCCAAGGUUCAAAAAAUUUAUAAAAUUUACCAUCACAUCGAAUCAAUAAAUAUAGAUAAAAAAUAACUAACUAUAACUUGUGAGACGAAUCUUGUAAGCCUAAUUAGUUUAUAGUUAAUCAAUAAUUGUCAAAUACAAGCGAAAGUGCUAUAAUAUCAAACUUCAAAAACUUAUGUAUGCAUGGAUAUUUAUGAAUGCAUUAAUUAUUAGAAAUGGUGAUCAAUCUCCCCGAGGGCGGAGCAGCCAUGGUGGAAACUCAUGCUACCAUGAAAUUAGAAAAGAAAUGAGUUAUAAGACGCAUGUUAUAUUGAGCCUCAAGCAAUAUAUAUAGAGAGAGAAUACAAAGGCUUUAGUACCACUCCAAUAUCCUGCCAACCAAACAUACUCUAACAAGAGUUUUAGUUCAAGACAACCUCGGUUCAAAAUCCUAGCAUCAUAAUUCAUAAACAGCAGACUUCACAAAGAUCGAGCAGGCUUAGAACACCCUGUAUGGUUUCCCCAUGGUGCUCUUGACGUAAAGGCAUCUCA
rnacentral:lncRNA from 1 species